GACGAACGCUGGCGGCGUGCUUAACACAUGCAAGUCGAACGGAAAGGCCCUGCUUUUGUGGGGUGCUCGAGUGGCGAACGGGUGAGUAACACGUGAGUAACCUGCCCUUGACUUUGGGAUAACUUCAGGAAACUGGGGCUAAUACCGGAUAGGAGCUCCUGCUGCAUGGUGGGGGUUGGAAAGUUUCGGCGGUUGGGGAUGGACUCGCGGCUUAUCAGCUUGUUGGUGGGGUAGUGGCUUACCAAGGCUUUGACGGGUAGCCGGCAUGAGAGGGUGACCGGCCACAUGAGGACUGAGAUACGGCGCAGACUCCUACGGGAGGCAGCAGUGGGGAAUAUUGCACAAUGGGCGGAAGCCUGAUGCAGCAACGCCGCGUGCGGGAUGACGGCCUUCGGGUUGUAAACCGCUUUCGCCUGUGACGAAGCGUGAGUGACGGUAAUGGGUAAAGAAGCACCGGCUAACUACGUG
rnacentral:rRNA from 1 species